UCUGUCUCUGACCACAUGCAGGUCUAGAGGCACACUGCAGACAUCCAGCCACCUGGGGCCACCUGGCGCCUUGGCUUCUCCUCUCGGAGCUCACCUUACCUCUAUCUCCUCUCCUUCCUCCCCCACCUGCCACCCGGGGCGCAAUGCAGGGGAAGCUAGCACUUAUCAAGACAAAGAACAAAAGUCGUGGGGGCAAGAAGCCAAGAGCCAUCUCUACUCUGGGGUAGGUAGGGCCUUCAGCUUCGCCCCUUUGAAAUUUCAAAUUCCAGUUUGUGGACAAAGUCCUAACUAUCUCACAAUAUAGGUCCCCAACUGCUGACCAAACUCCAGUCCAGGCAGCCACCUGGUCUGAAACUGGCCGGGCUUUGCCGUUUCCUUUGGCAGCUCCCAAGACCUGAGGGUAGGAGCCCUUAGGCAGCUGGGACCUACUAGGCUAUCCUGAAGCCCCCAGCUCACUACCAAGGAAUCUCUGUUCCUAUCUGAGAGGACUACCUCUGUUUGAAGCUGGAAUCUGAUUCUUGUUGGUGUCAACAACUGAAACCAGGUGGUAGCUUCAUACUUCUGUUCUCUGAAGUAAGCCGUGACGGUGACACUUGCCGACGAGAUGUGAGGAAAAGCAAGUUGUGCUGGCCCCAGUCCGAAGCUUUGAGUCUAGGAGCUUCAACAGGGUGGGUAUUGAGUAAUCGUGGUCAGGAGCGCCCCCUUCUGACCACAGAGGGACAUGCACUGUAAGAGAGCUGGAAACCAGCUAAGUGGAGCCAGGCUUGGGCCUUUUGGUCACAGACUAGCCAUUCCUGAUCCGUUGGGACAAACUUCCUAAAGGCUUCACAGAUUUUCCCAAGACCAGAACUGCUUCUGUCAUCUGAAAACCAUUUCUAAUGCUACCUACACACACAUUUUCUUGCACGAGAUCACGUCUUUUUACUUAGUUUUAUUGUUUAGCUUUUUUUAAAAAAAACUUUUUGAGGCAGGGUCUCAUGGAGCCCAAGCUGGCCUCAAACUUGCUAGGUAGCUGAGAAUGAGCUGGUUCCACUUUCCUGGUGCUGGAUCUGCAGGAAUGUGACACUAAGCCAGUUUUUAUGCGUCACUGGAGAACGGGUGUUCACACUUGCUAGGCGAACACCCCACUGAUUGGGCUACAUCUCCAGCCCUAGAUUUAUUUUCAAAAGAAAUCUGAUUCCCAUCAAGUGAGAUAUCAUCCCCUAAUUAGAAAGCAAUGGGAAACAAUCAUAAUGAAACAAGCCAUUUUGUUACCUCCUGACUCGAAAUUGUUUGCCCCCGUGUCCCUGGUCUGUCCCCUCUUUGUUAAAAAGGAAGGGUUGGAGAUGGCUAGAAAGUGUGGCACCAGCGCCAUGUCAAGGCUGAAAAAACACAUUCUGGCCCCUGACUUUCUGGCCUUGAAUGUAUACGCUCUACCACUGCACUGGACCCCCAGCCCUGGGUCUGUUCUCUCGCUUGUGAAUAUCGCUGGCAACGUGCAGGCUCCUGGGCUACCGUGGAGUUAAUGGCACUGAUGUGGGUAAAGGGCUGGAGCCUUGCCUGGCGCACUGUGAGUGCCACAUAGAUGUCAGUUGGGAAACAAAGGCAGGAUUAAGAUCCGAACUCCGUCUGGCCACAGUGGCACACUACAGUGACUCCAGCACCAGGGUGGCUGCGGCAAGAGAAGCGGGAGUUCAAAGUCAGCCGGAGCUGCGGCGGAAGGCUGGCACAGGCUACAGGCUUUGUCUUAAAAUAAAGAAACAAAACACGAUGACCCAAAUGUCUUUGAAUCAGUGUAAACACCAUAGAGGAUGGGGGAAAAUUCCUCUUCAUUGGUUAAAAAUAAAUCUCAGGGAUGCUGUGAGUGGGAAUGGCUCCCUCAGUGGCAGGUGACGUAACAGAGCCCUUGGUUUUAUUUGGAGACAGCGACUCCAACUCUACAGUGUCCUGUGUCACUCAUGAGAAUGCAGUGCUCAGGUUGGAAGAGCCAAUGCACACUCUCCUGAAAUGACCAAAUAUGGACACGGGAUUUUCGGAGGAACACUUAGGACAGGAUAGGGCACCCUUUGGGGGAUGACUGAAGGUGUGGAGAGGAGUGGUCCGGGCGCUAGGGAGCAGCAGAGAGGCAGUUCUGCUAAGGGCUGUGGCCUUUGAACUGUCUGAUCCUGGGCAAGUUACAAGCUCUUCAGAUCUUAUUUGCUUCACCUACAAGAUAGGACUCAACAAUAGCGCCUCUUUAUAGAGAGCUUUGUGGGGUGACUGUGAUAAGCCUCACACACCUGGCAUGCAGGUGCCCAGCGUGCAGCUAUGCUUGGGUUCAAAAUGGAUCCAAGGUGAUCGCUUGCUAGACUGUUUACCUAGCAUGUGCAAAUUUCUGGGUCUUAUUCCCAGCACUACAAAAACAAAGAAUUUUCUGGGAAAUAAGAAUUCUCUGGUUCCUAUGAUCCCAGAGAGCAAACCAAAAUCA